rnacentral:misc_RNA from 1 species
AAGUCGUAACAAGGUUUCCGUAGGUGAACCUGCGGAAGGAUCAUUAGCGAGAGCCUGCCACGGACGCAAGUCUGUGAGCAAGCGCGCCAUCCUUGUGUUGUGUGUGUUGCCUGUGCACCUGACAAUGUCUGACAGUGUCUGUGUGCACACGCGCAUUUUCACCCAUUAUUCCCAUUUAUCUAAUGCAACUGCUCAUACUGAGCACAAACAACCGAAAACUGCCAGCAAUGGAUCACUCGGUUCUC